rnacentral:rRNA from 1 species
UACGGAGGGUGCAAGCGUUGUUCGGAAUCAUUGGGCGUAAAGCGCGUGUAGGCGGCUAUUUAAGUCUGAUGUGAAAGCCCGGGGCUUAACCCCGGAAGUGCAUUGGAUACUGGGUAGCUAGAGGGCGAGAGAGGAGAAUGGAAUUCCUGGUGUAGGGGUGAAAUCCGUAGAUAUCAGGAGGAACAUCAGAGGCGAAGGCGGUUCUCUGGCUCGUUUCUGACGCUGAGACGCGAAAGCGUGGGGAGCAAACAGG